UGCAAGUCGAGCGGGGAGAUGUAGCUUGCUACAUUUUCUAGCGGCGGACGGGUGAGUAAUGCUUAGGAAUCUGCCUAUUAGUGGGGGACAACGUUUCGAAAGGAACGCUAAUACCGCAUACGCCCUACGGGGGAAAGCAGGGGCUCUUCGGACCUUGCGCUAAUAGAUGAGCCUAAGUCAGAUUAGCUAGUUGGUGGGGUAAAGGCCUACCAAGGCGACGAUCUGUAGCGGGUCUGAGAGGAUGAUCCGCCACACUGGGACUGAGACACGGCCCAGACUCCUACGGGAGGCAGCAGUGGGGAAUAUUGGACAAUGGGGGGAACCCUGAUCCAGCCAUGCCGCGUGUGUGAAGAAGGCCUUUUGGUUGUAAAGCACUUUAAGCGAGGAGGAGGCUCCUAUAGAUAAUACCUAUAGUGAGUGGACGUUACUCGCAGAAUAAGCACCGGCUAACUCUGUGCCAGCAGCCGCGGUAAUACAGAGGGUGCGAGCGUUAAUCGGAUUUACUGGGCGUAAAGCGUACGUAGGCGGCUUUUUAAGUCGGAUGUGAAAUCCCUGAGCUUAACUUAGGAAUUGCAUUCGAUACUGGGAAGCUAGAGUAUGGGAGAGGAUGGUAGAAUUCCAGUGUAGCGGUGAAAUGCGUAGAGAUCUGGAGGAAUACCGAUGGCGAAGGCAGCCAUCUGGCCUAAUACUGACGCUGAGGUACGAAAGCAUGGGGAGCAAACAGGAUUAGAUACCCUGGUAGUCCAUGCCGUAAACGAUGUCUACUAGCCGUUGGGGCCUUUGAGGCUUUAGUGGCGCA
rnacentral:rRNA from 1 species